rnacentral:rRNA from 1 species
AUCGAACGCUGGCGGCAGGCCUAACACAUGCAAGUCGAACGAGCGGCGGACGGGUGAGUAAUGUCUGGGAAACUGCCUGAUGGAUGGGGAUAACUACUGGAAACGGUAGCUAAUACCGCAUACCAUCGGCUUUGCCCAGAUGGGAUUAGCUAGUAGGUGGGGUAAUGGCUCACCUAGGCGACGAUCCCUAGCUGUUCUGAGAGGAUGACCAGCCACACUGGAACUGAGACACGGUCCAGACUCCUACGGGAGGCAGCAGUGGGGAAUAUUGCACAAUGGGCGAAAGCCUGAUGCAGCCAUGCCGCGUGUAUGAAGAAGGCCUUCGGGUUGUAAAGUACUUUCGGCGGGGAGGCGUUACCCGAAGAAGAAGCACCGGCUAACUCCGUGCCAGCAGCCGCGGUAAUAC